rnacentral:misc_RNA from 1 species
UCCGGCUUGGCGCCGGCAGUCUCCCUAGAGUCCCCACCAUUACGUGCUGGCAACUAAGGACGGGGGUUGCGCUCGUUGCGGGACUUAACCCAACACCUCACGGCACGAGCUGACGACAGCCAUGCACCACCUGUCAGGGGCCCUUACGGACACUGCAUCUCUGCAGCUUUUCCCCUGAUGUCAAACCCAGGUAAGGUGGGGAUGACGUUUACCGACAGCU